GACGAACGCUGGCGGCGUGCUUAACACAUGCAAGUCGAACGGAAAGGCCCUGCUUUUGUGGGGUGCUCGAGUGGCGAACGGGUGAGUAACACGUGAGUAACCUGCCCUUGACUUUGGGAUAACUUCAGGAAACUGGGGCUAAUACCGGAUAGGAGCUCCUGCUGCAUGGUGGGGGUUGGAAAGUUUCGGCGGUUGGGGAUGGACUCGCGGCUUAUCAGCUUGUUGGUGGGGUAGUGGCUUACCAAGGCUUUGACGGGUAGCCGGCAUGAGAGGGUGACCGGCCACAUUGGGACUGAGAUACGGCCCAGACUCCUACGGGAGGCAGCAGUGGGGAAUAUUGCACAAUGGGCGGAAGCCUGAUGCGGCAACGCAGCGUGCGGGAUGACGGCCUUCGGGUUGUAAACCGCUUUCGCCUGUGACGAAGCGUGAGUGACGGUAAUGGGUAAAGAAGCACCGGCUAACUACGUG
rnacentral:rRNA from 1 species